AUACGGAGGAUGCGAGCGUUAUCCGGAUUUAUUGGGUUUAACGGGAGCGUAGGUGGGAUAUUAAGUCAGCUGUGAAAGUUUGGGGCUCAACCUUAAAAUUGCAGUUGAUACUGGUUUCCUUGAGUACGGUACAGGUGGGCGGAAUUCGUGGUGUAGCGGUGAAAUGCUUAGAUAUCACGAAGAACUCCGAUCGCGAAGGCAGCUCACCGGGCCGGAACUGACACUGAUGCUCGAGAGUGCUGGUAUCAAACAGGAUUAGAUACCCUGGUAGUCCGCACAGUAAACGAUUAAUACUCGCUGUUUGCGAUACACCGUAAGCGGCCAAGCGAAAGCGUUAAGUAUUCCACCUGGGGAGUACGCCGGCAACGGUGAAACUCAAAUGAAUUGACGGGG
rnacentral:rRNA from 1 species